CAGAGGGGGCAAGCGUUAUUCGGAAUUAUUGGGCGUAAAGGGCGCGUAGGCGGCUUUGCAAGUGACGGGUGAAAUCCCUCGGCUUAACCGGGGAACUGCCUGUCAAACUGCAUGGCUUGAGACCGGGAGAGGUGAGUGGAAUUCCCAGUGUAGUGGUGAAAUGCGUAGAUAUUGGGGGGAACACCAGUGGCGAAGGCGGCUCACUGGACCGGUACUGACGCUGAGGCGCGAAAGCGUGGGUAGCAAACAGG
rnacentral:rRNA from 1 species